rnacentral:rRNA from 1 species
GACGUAGGGCGCGAGCGUUGUCCGGAUUUAUUGGGCGUUAAAGAGCUCGUAGGCGGCUUGUCGCGUCGUCCGUGAAAACCUGCAGCUCAACUGCAGGCUUGCGGUCGAUACGGGCAGGCUAGAGUUCGGUAGGGGAGACUGGAAUUCCUGGUGUAGCGGUGAAAAUGCGCAGAUAUCAGGAGGAACACCGGUGGCGAAGGCGGGCCUCUGGGCCGAUACUGACGCUGAGGAGCGAAAAGCGUGGGGGAGCAACAGGAUUAGAAA